GGGCAUGGAAGAGGAGCCGGGCAGACGGAAGGGCAGCCGGGAAGAUGUACUGGUGUUGGAAGAAGUCUAUGGCAGUGCUGGAAUGCAGAGUGGACCAUGAGGCUGUACUGGAACUGAACAUGCACUCUUCUGCAGCAAGAAGAGAAGGGCAUCACAUGGAGCCAGUGGAAGGCUGGGUCAGGACCUACAAAAGGAGGGUACGUCCGUGUUAUGACCACCUACUACUAUAAGGCAAGAUGAUCUGUGU